AGAAUAAUACAACAAUUAUAAAUAAUAUUUCAUUAUAUGGAAUCAUGAGCCCUAGAUUUUUUAUCUAGGCAAAAGGGAUUAACCACCCAUCUUGGCGACAAGCCCUAACUUGCUCCUCUGUGAGUAACCCUAUCAGCAUUGGAAACCCAACCAACGACACAAUAGAUGGAAGCCUUAGUUGCAGCGGCAACCAUGGUGAUGGAACCAGACCAAUCGGUAGAGCCGAUGAUGGCACGAGCCGCGUUGGCAUUCCAGGAAGGGGUACUGGAUGCGGUUGCAACUCUAGUGAUAGAACCAGACCAAGCAGCAGCGUUAGUGGUGGCAGUCUAGGAAAAGGUCCUCUCGCGGUGCCAACUUUGAUGAUGGAAUCAGCCUUGGCAGCAACUCAAGCAACAACGACGACAACCAUGGGUUCCUUUCAAACUGAAGGCAGCUUUGAAGAGUUUUACAACAAUGGCUAUUACGGAGGCUAUGGCAACAGAUACGGAGGUGAUGGCGGUUUUGGUAUGGGAGGAAACAACCAAGGUAAUUCCUUACAAGUCAAUGUGCAUAAAUAGAUCCAACUUACAAGUUCUGGAAAUCGGAAAACUCGUUAAUCAUUGCUUGGCUAGUUAGUUCGAUGGAGACAUGAAUUGGGAGACCAUUCAUGUUUAUACCUACAGCAAAACAAGUAUUGGAAGAUGUGAAGGAUACUUACUAUGAUAUUCAGAAUUCAUCUCAAAUUUAUGGUCUAAAAUCAAAAUUGUGGAGCCUGAAGCAAGGUGAAAGGAUGGUAACAAUCUACUACAAUAAGUUGAUGACCUUAUGGCAAGAACUAGAUUUGUGCUAUGAAGAUAAUUGGAAGUGUAUGGAAGAUAGUGUUCAGUUCAUUAAGAGGCAAGAAAACGAUCGUGUUUUUAUGUUUCUUGCAAGUCUAAACAAAGAACUUGAUGAAGUUAGAGACAGACUCCUUGGAAAAGCCCUUUAACAUCUCUACGAGAAUAUUUUUCAAAAGUCAAAAGAGAAGAGGCAAGACAAUAAGUGAUGACAGGAAAUUCAAUCACAGAUGGGUCAACACUAAUCACCAGAAAUUUCAAUGAGGAAGGCAAGAAAGAUAGUAAGAAAUCAGAGAAGCCAUGGUGUGACCAUUGCAAAUGCAUGUGGCACACGCGCAAGACUUGUUGAAAGCUACAUGGGAAGCCUCCUUAUUCAAAGAAGAAUGGAGAAGGUCGUGCAUUUCAAGCUACUUUUGAUAAGAGUUACGGUCUAGUGGGUAGAUCAACUUUAAAAACUUAUUGAAUCUCAAACCCCUUCUAGCUGCAUGGCUCAAAAAGGAUUUGAUCUCGGGAAAGAUGAUUGGCAAUUCUAAGCAAAGUGGUGGACUCUACUAUCUUGGAGAUGGACCUAAAAACAAACACCAGUCAGGACCAGUUGGUUUUUUGGUUGAAUCUUUUUUUGUUUCAAAUAAUAAGGAUUAUAUUUUGUUGUGGCAUUUGAGGUUAGGCCACCCUAGUUUUAAAUAUUUAAAGUCUAUAUUUCCAAAACUUUUUGUUAAUCAAGAUAUUUCCACAUUUCAAUGUGAAAUUUACGAGUUUGCUAAACAUCACCGAAAUUCUUUUCCAA